UGCAAUCUAUGACGUAAUUGCCAUUUAGUGGUUCUGAUUUUAUAUUGAUUGAUUUGUCAGAAAUUCACCAUCUUUCGCCUGAGAUUGCA